CCCGUCUGGCGACGAGUGGCGGACGGGUGAGUAAUACUUAGGAAUCUGCCCAGUAUGGGGGACAACUCGGGGAAACUCGAGCUAAUACCGCAUACGCCCUAAGGGGGAAAGCGGGGGAUCUUCGGACCUCGCGCUAUUGGAUGAGCCUAAGUCGGAUUAGCUUGUAGGUAGGGUAACGGCCUACCUAGGCGACGAUCCGUAGCUGGUCUGGGAGGACGAUCAGCCACACUGGGACUGAGACACGGCCCAG
rnacentral:rRNA from 1 species